rnacentral:rRNA from 1 species
GACGAACGCUGGCGGCGUGCCUAAUACAUGCAAGUCGAGCGCAUGACGAGGAGCUUGCUCCUCUGAUUGAGCGGCGGACGGGUGAGUAACACGUGGGCAACCUGCCCUGUAGACGGGGAUAACUUCGGGAAACCGGAGCUAAUACCGGAUAAUCCUCUUCCCCACAUGGGGAAGAGUUGAAAGGCGCUUUUGCGUCACUACAGGAUGGGCCCGCGGUGCAUUAGCUAGUUGGUGGGGUAAUGGCCUACCAAGGCGACGAUGCAUAGCCGACCUGAGAGGGUGAUCGGCCACAUUGGGACUGAGACACGGCCCAAACUCCUACGGGAGGCAGCAGUAGGGAAUCUUCCACAAUGGACGAAAGUCUGACGGAGCAACGCCGCGUGAGUGAUGAAGGUUUUCGGAUCGUAAAACCCUGUUGUAAGGGAAGAACCAGUACGUCAGGCAAUGGACGUACCUUGACGG